rnacentral:rRNA from 1 species
CAGUCGCCGCGGUAAUACGAAGGGGGCUAGCGUUGCUCGGAAUUACUGGGCGUAAAGGGCGCGUAGGCGGACAGUUCAGUCGGGGGUGAAAGCCCGGGGCUCAACCUCGGAAUUGCCUUCGAUACUGGCUGUCUUGAGUAUGAGAGAGGUGUGUGGAACUCCGAGUGUAGAGGUGAAAUUCGUAGAUAUUCGGAAGAACACCAGUGGCGAAGGCGACACACUGGCUCAUUACUGACGCUGAGGCGCGAAAGCGUGGGGAGCAAACAGGAUUAGAUACCCGCGUAGUCCCUGUCUCUUAUAC